AGAAAGACAAAUAUCACAUGAUUUCACUCAUAUGUGGAAUUUAAGAAACAAAACAGAUGAACAUAUGGGAAGGGAACAUAGCAGAGAGGGAGACAAACCAUAAAAGGCUCUUAAAUACAGAGAACAAACUGAGG